rnacentral:rRNA from 1 species
UGGGGAAUAUUGGACAAUGGGCGAAAGCCUGAUCCAGCCAUGCCGCGUGUGUGAAGAAGGUCUUCGGAUUGUAAAGCACUUUAAGUUGGGAGGAAGGGCAUUAACCUAAUACGUUAGUGUUUUGACGUUACCGACAGAAUAAGCACCGGCUAACUCUGUGCCAGCAGCCGCGGUAAUACAGAGGGUGCAAGCGUUAAUCGGAAUUACUGGGCGUAAAGCGCGCGUAGGUGGUUUGUUAAGUUGGAUGUGAAAUCCCCGGGCUCAACCUGGGAACUGCAUUCAAAACCGACUGACUAGAGUAUGGUAGAGGGUGGUGGAAUUUCCUGUGUAGCGGUGAAAUGCGUAGAUAUAGGAAGGAACACCAGUGGCGAAGGCGACCACCUGGACUAAUACUGACACUGAGGUGCGAAAGCGUGGGGAGCAAACA